rnacentral:rRNA from 1 species
AAAGUCGUCCUCAGUUCAGAUCACAGGCUGCAACCCGCCUGUGUGAAGUCGGAGUUGCUAGUAAACGCGCGUCAGCUAUAGUGCGUUGAAUACGUUCCCGGGGAUUGUACACACCGCCCGUCACGUCAUGGGAGCUGGCAACACCUGAAGCCGGUAGCCUAACCGCAAGGAGGGCACUGUCGAGGGUGGGGUCGGUGACUGGGACGAAGUCGUAACAAGGUAGGUGUACCGGAAGGUGCGCCUGGAUCACCUCCUUUCUAGAUGAACGAGCAAAGGUCCAGCAUUCGUGCAGACCUGCGCUCCAGCUUCAAAAAAAUCUUUCAUCCGCGGUGGGUGAAAGCCUGACCCAGCAACGCCGCGUGCACGAUGAAGGUCUUCGGAUCGUAAAGUGCUUUUCUGAGAGAUGAGAAAGGACAGUAUCUCAGGAAUAAGUCUCGGCUAACUACGUGCCAGCAGCCGCGGUAACACGUAGGAGGCAAGCGUUAUCCGGAUUUACUGGGUGUAAAGCGCGUGCAGGUGGUUCGGUAAGUUGGAUGUGAAAUCUCCUGGCUCAACUGGGAGAGGUCGUUCAAAACUACCGGACUUGAGAGCAGUAGAGGGAGGUGGAAUUCCCGGUGUAGUGGUGAAAUGCGUAGAUAUCGGGAGGAACACCAGUGGCGAAAGCGGCCUCCUGGACUGUUUCUGAUACUCAGACGCGAAAGCUAGGGUAGCAAACGGGAUUAGAGACCCCGGUAGUCCUAGCUGUAAACGAUGUGAACUUGGCGUCGGCGGGUUCAAAGCCGUCGGUGCCGAAGCUAACGCGAUAAGUUCACCACCUGGGGACUACGGCCGCAAGGUUAAAACUCAAAGGAAUUGACGGGUCCCCGCACAAGCAGCGGAGCGUGUGGUUUAAUUCGAUGUUACACGAAGAACCUUACCCAGGUUUGACAUGUUGGUGGUAGGGAAGCGAAAGCAGACCGACCCGCAAGGGAGCCUUCACAGGUGUUGCAUGGCUGUCGUCAGCUCGUGUCGUGAGAUGUUCGGUUAAGUCCGCCAACGAGCGCAACCCUCGCCGUAUGUUACAAGUGUCAUACGGGACCGCCGGUAUCAAGCCGGAGGAAGGUGGGGAUGACGUCAAGUCAGCAUGGCCUUUAUAUCUGGGGCUACACACACGCUACAAUGGACGAUACAAUGGGUCGCUAAGCCGCGAGGUAGAGCC